AUGGAGAUGAAACCCAAAAGAUUUUCGUUGGGGCAUAACCCUCUCAGCGACGCGCCACAUCGGAACCCGGGUGUGGUGGAAAAUGAGCAAGGGCCGGGCCGUCACCCCCCAGGUGGCGCGCCGUAUCUUGAUCCGGAUACGGUGGCAAGUGAGCGAGGAUCGGGUCGUCGCAUCCUUAGUGGCGCGCUACAUCGCCACCCGGAUGUAGUGGAAAAUGAGCAAGGGUCUUCGCAUUUGACUCGACGAGUGCGAUGGGUAAGGAAGCUAGCCGAGCCUAGGAGGAUUCGCUUAGGUAGCUGGAACGUAGGGUCUCUGACAGGGAAACUUCGGGAUCUAGUUGAUGCAGCGGUGAGGAGAGGUGUUGAUAUCCUUUGCGUCCAAGAAACCAAAUGGAGAGGACAGAAGGCGAAGGAGGUGGAGGAUACCGGCUUCAAGCUGUUGUACACGGGGACGGCUGCAAACAGAAAUGGCAUAGGCAUCUUGAUCAACAAGAGCCUCAAGUAUGGAGUGGUAGACGUCAAGAGACGUGGGGACCGGAUUAUCCUGGUCAAGCAGGUAGUUGAGGACUUGGUUCUCAAUGUUUUCAGCGCGUAUGCCCCGCAAGUAGGCCACAAUGAGAACACCAAGAGGGAGUUCUGGGAAGGCCUGGAAGACAUGGUUAGGAGUGUACCGAUUGGUGAGAAGCUCUUCAUAGGAGGAGACCUCAAUGGCCACGUGGGUACAUCUAACACAGGUUUUGAAGGGCGCAUGGGGGCUUUGGCUAUGGCAUCAGGAAUCAAGGAGAAGAUGUCUUAA
rnacentral:rRNA from 1 species